rfam:Drechmeria coniospora strain ARSEF 6962 chromosome, whole genome shotgun sequence.
GGGGAUGUAAUUCAGUUGGUAGAAUGCUAACUUUGCACGUUAGAAGCCUAGGUUCGAUUCCUAGUAUCUCCA